UUACCUGUGCCUGCAGCCUGGCUGUCUCUGAGCCUGGUGCAAGGGAUGUGGGAGGCUGCAGAGCUGAUAUUUCAGGGGGUCACCACUGAUGGAAACUAAGCUCAUCCCCAGAUAAACUUGGCCCACGUUACAUCAUCCAUCCUUUGGGUAUACUGCAGAAAUCACUCCAGCUCUCUUCAGCACCCUGGGCAGCACGUGGACUUCUAAUUGUAGGUUGCUGGCUCCUGACACUGCCAUGCCUUAAUUCUGCCAGCCCCAUGAGAAGAUUAUGCUCGUGAGAUGCUGACCCCUUCCUGCUGGUGCCCUGCCUGAAGAUCUCCUGGCCCUCGUGUUCACUGCCAGGCCCACGGAGUUCGAGAGGCUCUGGGAGGUGUCUUGGACAAGCCCAUUGUUUGGGCUGUGACACCAUGCUGCCAAUUAAUCUUAAUUAAUUAAUAAAUCACAGCUAGCAUUUACUGUUGUGAGUAAGCUCAACUGUUCACAAUAGGUAGUUGCACUGCCAGCCCCAAUAAUCAGGUGGCAGAUUCACCAAAAUCAAGAGCUCAUUGUAAGGAUGAUGAUAUUUUAUGGGAAAGAUGAGUAAUGAAUGGGUGUUUGUGUGCAUUUCUGCUUUGUCUCCUUGACUGUUUAAAUUUCCUUACUAAUUUUUGUUUUCAAAUUGCAGGCCCCCAAGAAUCAUGUUUACAAGAAAUGAAAUAUUAAUAUAUUUAGAAGAGAAAAAUCGAUUUGAUCUGUACAAACUAUCGUGACUGCAAGGGCUGGGUUUUUUCAGAAUACCAAGCAAUGCCAUGAAAGUCCCUCCAAAGUUGGAAGCAGCCAUAGUGAGCUGGCACACGAGUGGUCCUGAGCUCGCACACAGCACCGCGAGGGAUCUGUUCCCCAGCAGAAGAAGCGAAGGGAGGAGGACAAAGAUUACAGUGUUAAGAUCAUGCUGUUGCUAUGCUGCCUACCCGCCCGUCAGUGCAUUUCUUCGCCAUCCUCCCACGGACACUUGUCUGACUCCUGCCCCUGCAGCUGGUGCGUGCCAGGCGUCUCCUGACCUGGGCUGGCUUUCUCCUGCAGUUCUCCUGCAGGUGGAGAGGAAAUGCAUUGGCAUUUCCUGCAACAGCCUUCUUGAGGUUGGAGGUAUUAAAUCACAGAAACUUUUUGAGGGAUCGUGGUGA
rnacentral:lncRNA from 1 species